UUUGGGAACAAGGUGCAUCGAUUAACUGUCGAUGCAUUGAUAGUACCAGAAGAGGAAGAGACGGCUAACUCUGUGCCAGCAGCCGCGGUAAUACAGAGGUCUCAAGCGUUGUUCGGAUUCAUUGGGCGUAAAGGGUGCGUAGGUGGCGGGGUAAGUCAGGUGUGAAAUUUCGGAGCUUAACUCCGAAACUGCAUUUGAUACUGCCUUGCUUGAGGACUGGAGAGGAGAUUGGAAUUCACGGUGUAGCAGUGAAAUGCGUAGAUAUCGUGAGGAAGACCAGUGGCGAAGGCGGAUCUCUGGACAGUUCCUGACACUGAGGCACGAAGGCCAGGGGAGCAAACGGGAUUAGAUACCCCGGUAGUCCUGGCAGUAAACGGUGCACGUUUGGUGUGGGAGGAUUCGACCCCUUCUGCGCCGGAGCUAACGCGUUAAACGUGCCGCCUGGGGAGUACGGUCGCAAGAUUAAAACUCAAAGAAAUUGACGGGGGCCCGCACAAGCGGUGGAGUAUGUGGCUUAAUUCGAUGCAACGCGAAGAACCUUACCUGGCCUUGACAUGCAUCUCUAAGUUGGUGAAAGCCAGCGAGUCCCGAAAGGGACAAUUUGCACAGGUGCUGCAUGG
rnacentral:rRNA from 1 species